rnacentral:sRNA from 2 species
GGACGCCGGCAGCCAGCCGCCCUCCGGACCGGGGACCCAUCGAGUCCCAGGGGUGAAGCGCGACCUCUCGCGCCGGGCGACUCCCCCGCCCGAACCCGUCAGCUAACCCGGUAGGCGACCGUGGAGAACAGGA